UACGUAGGGACCAAGCGUUGUUCGGAUUUACUGGGCGUAAAGGGCGCGUAGGCGGCGCGGUAAGUCACUUGUGAAAUCUCUGAGCUUAACUCAGAACGGCCAAGUGAUACUGCAGUGCUAGAGUGUGGAAGGGGCAAUCGGAAUUCUUGGUGUAGCGGUGAAAAUGCGUAGAUAUCAAGAGGAACACCUGAGGUGAAGACGGGUUGCUGGGCCAAACACUGACGCUGAGGCGCGAAAGCCAGGGGAGCAAACGGG
rnacentral:rRNA from 1 species